rnacentral:rRNA from 1 species
UACAGAGGUCCCAAGCGUUGUUCGGAUUCACUGGGCGUAAAGGGUGCGUAGGCGGUUUGACAAGUCUGAUGUGAAAUCCCGCAGCUUAACUGCGGAACUGCAUUGGAAACUGUUUGACUAGAGGAACGGAGGGGAGACUGGAAUACUUGGUGUAGCAGUGAAAUGCGUAGAUAUCAAGUGGAACACCAGUGGCGAAGGCGAGUCUCUGGACAUUUCCUGACGCUGAGGCACGAAAGCCAGGGGAGCAAACGGG